AUCAGCCGUCACCAUUCUGUCCCCGUUUGAGCCAAUCAGCGGUGAGCUCUCCAGAACACGCUGGUUUAAAGUGAGGGAACUUCUCGGUUCAGCGAAAAGAGGUUAAAACUGGAGAAAUGUGUGUCGUCCAAGGAACAGAACUAUCUCCUAUUAUUUAUGUAUCUGGAAGUGGAAGGAUGCAGUGCAGUGGACUUCCUCAAGCCAGGCGAUCAGCACCCAGAUCAGGAAGCCAGCUCCCUCAGCCCGCAAGCCUGAAGACGGGGGAGUUGAAGGUCACGGCUAAGGAGCACAUUGAUGCGUCAGUCCUGCUGGCAAAAGUUUCCUUCAUGAUGUGAGAACCCCAACCUGCAAGAUGACGGCCUCAGCCCCAGGACACUGCAAGUUCCAAAGGAGCAGCCACUGAUGCAACUGCAAGUCAGAGCCAAAGAUCAGUUUGGACCUCCACCUGCUGCACCUGUCCUCCAUGCUUGAUCACAGGGAUGUUGCAGUGUGACCUGAAUUGCUCAAACCAACGCUGGAAAUGUCUACGGUCAUACCCACUUCUUCCAGAUGUCCCCAUGACCCAAAUCUAAAACCCAGCAUGCAGGAUCUCACACAGAUGGAUCCAGAGUUUGACCGGGACAUCACACCAGGAGCGAUUGUAAAUCACACGAACAGUGUGACGGCUGCACAUCAUCCACAUGGUGAACUAUGAUGACAGUUGUGUACCUUGGCGAGACAGCAGGAAGCUCUGCAGCUGUGUCUUGGUCUUCCUGCUGGCGAGCAACACAAAAAGGAACAACGUAUUUUGAGAUAAAUGUGGCUCGGCUGUCAUCAGCUCAAACGAACGGUGCAUAUUUACCACAGACACGUCUGCAACGGACUGUCAUUCCUCUCGCGGUCCUUGUCCUGGCAUCAAACUGUUCAAUAAUCCUUUGAGUCGGAGCAGCCGAGCACAUCACAGCAACGCCUCCGACUGACUGCAGAGGUGACUGGAGCGGGUUGGCUGUCUGCGGAUCCUCUGGAGGAUUACACUGUUUGUGAUUGCCUUGCAUCAUCAGAGACCACAGCUCAUCUCACACAUCUUCUUGUUCUGGUGGUGAAGUCAGCCAGCAGCAUGCCUGAGCCGCGGUAAUGUGUGCACAUGUUUUAAAGCUGCUUCAAGGCAAUUCAACACUAAACUCAUGAUAGCUGUGGUGUGCAUAUGUAACGAUGUAAUCUGAACACCAGCUCAGAUUAUUCUCUACAGUCAUGGCCAAAAGUUUUGAGAAUGACACAACUAUUAAUCUUCACAAAGUUUGCUGUUUCAGUUUUUAUAAUGGCAAUUUGCAU